rnacentral:rRNA from 1 species
CCCUUAGAUGUCCUGGGCCGCACGCGCGUUACACUGAUGCAUUCAACGAGCUUAUAACCUUGGCCGAGAGGCCUGGGCAAUCUUGUUAACGUGCAUCGUGAUAGGGAUAGAUUAUUGAAAUUAUUAAUCUUGAACGAGGAAUUCCUAGUAAACGCAGAUCAUCAAUCUGCAUUGAUUACGUCCCUGCCCUUUGUACACACCGCCCGUCGCACCUACCGAUUGAAUGGUCCGGUGAAAUCUUGGGAUUUUGUUUUGUAUGCAUUUAUUUGUAUCGAGACGAGAGAACUUGAGUAAACCUUACCAUUUAGAGGAAGGUGAAGUCGUAACA